CCUCCUUAGACUGCCUCCUCCUUGCUGUCCUGGACCUACAGCAGACAUGCUACAAGCUGAAGACCCCCAGGAGAGCAAGAGCUUGUGAAUGUCAAAUGAAAUCAAUGGCACUAUUCAGCUCAGGAAAACAAGAGGGAUUGAGCUUCGUGGGCUAAACUGUGUGGCACUGGCCUCAUGCAACAAAAAAUACUAUGGCUGAACACAGAAAUUUCUUCCAUGGCUGCUGCAAUCCUGGUUGACAGCUUCCCAAGCUUCAGAAGACAGACAGGGGAGGAGGGAGAAUAAACAUGGCAAACUACUGUGAUGAGAGCACCAGUCAAGUAACAAGCAGUCCAAGAACAAGGUCUUCUUUUAAAAAUAUCUGGGAUCGGACCACUAUUUAAAUGAGAUGAACAUUCCUUCACUGACUUUACGUGACCUAUCUUGAACAUUUCAGUUAUCUACAAAACCUAAAUAGAAUAAAGAAUUUUUCUUAUGGGAAUCAAAAGAAGAAUACAAUAGCUGCUCUCUAACAGGCAGUCCACAUGCUGUCACAGCAGUGCUGCUACCCCAGACACCCACUGCUGG